rfam:Mus musculus chromosome 7, GRC primary reference assembly.
UGAUCAGUCAGGCUUCUGGCUAUAUUCCAGGACUUACCUGGUCCUGGAUAUAACCAAAGCCUGACUAUAUG